CUCUCUCUCUCUCUCUCUCUCUCUGUGUUCAGGGUCCUAGAGGUGUGCUUGGGCCAAACGGUCCACCUGGGCCCACUGGACAGCCUGUACGUAGUACUUCACACAUAGUUUCCUUCUUGUACAUGUUAGUCAUUUAGCAGACACUCUUAUCCCACUUGUUGUUGAUUCUUCACAAAAAAAUACAGUUUAUAUCUUUUUGUUUGAAGCCUGAAAUGUGGCAAAAGGUCGCAAAGUUCAAGAGUUUCGCAAGGCACUGUAUAUCACUAUGGUAUCUCCUGUAUCAUAUAUAUCACUAUGGUAUCUCCUGUAUCAUAUAUAUCACUAUGGUAUCUCCUGUAUCAUAUAUAUCACUAUGGUAUCUCCUGUAUCAUAUAUAUCACUAUGGUAACUCCUGUAUCAUAUAGCCAAACAUCAAUAAUUCUUUCCUACCCAUCUGACUAGUUGUGUUUCCACAGGGUGUGGCUGGAGUGGACGGUCCUCACGGUCCCAAAGGAAACAUGGGACCUCAAGGAGAGCCGGGACCACCAGGUCAGCAGGGGAUCCCAGAAACACAAGUGAGUAUUACAGACAGUAUACAGUAUUACAGACAGUAUACAGUAUUACAGACAGUGUACAGUAUUACAGACAGUAUACAGUAUUACAGGCACUAUACAGUAUUACAGACAGCAUACAGUAACAGACAGUAUACAGUAUUACAGGCACUAUACAGUACUACAGACAUUAUAGAGUAUUCUACAAGGUAGAAAAUAGUAAAAAUAAAGUAAAACCCUUGAAUGAAUAGGUGUAUCCAGACUGGUACUGUAUAUACUGUGCAUUCUGUAAGUAUUCAUACCCUUUGACUUUUUCCACAUUGUGUUACCUUACAGGUUUGUUCUAAAAAAUGAUUAAAUUAUUUCUUCCCGUCAUCAAUCUACACCCAAUGCCCCAUAGUUAUACAACCUAAACAGGUUUUCUGAAAUUUUUGCACAUUAAUAAAAUCUAAAAACUGAAAUAUGACAUUAACACACUAAGUAUUCAGACCCUUUACUUAGUGCUUUGACAGCGAUUACACCAUCGAGUCUUCCUGGGUGUGACGCUACAAGCUUGGCACACCUUUAUUUGGGGAGUUUCUCCCAUUCUUCUCUGCAAAUCCUCUCAAGCUCUGUCAGGUUGGAUGGGGAGCAUCACUGCACAGGCAUUUUCAGGUCUCUACCAAGAUGUUAGAUCGGGUUCAAGUCCGGGCUCUGGCUGGAUCACUGAAGGACAUUCAGAGACUUGUCCCGAAGCCACUCAUGCGUUGUCUUGGAUGUGUGCUCAGGGUCAUUGUUCUGUUGUAAUGUGAAUCUUUGCCCCAGUCUGAGGUCCUGAGCGCUCAGGAGCAGGUUUUCAUCAAUGAUCUCUCUGUACUUUGCUCCGUUCAUCUUUCCCUCGAUCCUGACUAGUCUCCCAGUCCCUUAAAACUUCUGAAGGCUAGGGGGCAGUAUUCGGAUGGUCGGAUGACUGACGUGCCCAAAGUAAACUGCGUGUUACUCAGGCCCAGAAGCUAGGAUAUGCAUAUUAUUAGUUGAUUUGGAUAGAAAACACUCUGAAGUUCCUAAAACUGUCAGAAUAAUAUCUGUGAGUUUAACAGAACUGAUUUUCGUCCAGUAUUUAACACAAUUUAUCCCGUCUUAAAUUGUAUCGAUUAUUUACGUUUUAAGAUACCUAAGUUUGGAUUAGGAACGUUGUUUGAAAUGUUUGGACCAAGUUUACAGGUAACUUAUUAGAUACUUUGUAGUCAUGUUGGGCGAGUUGGAACCGGUGUAUUUUCUGAAUCAAACGCGCCAAAUUAAUUCACAUUUUGGGGAUGUAAAGAAGGACGUUAUCGAACAAAAGGACAAUUUUUGAUGUUUCUGGGACAUUUUGGAGUGCCAACAGAAGAAGAUUUUCAAAGGUAAGGCAUGAAUUAUAUCGUUAUAUCGUUUCAACCUGGCUGGUUGAAAUCUGAUUUUCAGUUGUUUGUAUGUGGGUUGCUGUCCUCAGAUAAUCGCAUGGUCUGCUUUCGCCAUAAAACCUUUUUGGAAAUAUGACACUGCGACUGUUAACAACAAGUUAAGCUUUAUUUUGAUGUAUUAUACUGUAUAUGCAUGUCUUGUGAAGUUUUGGUAAUGAGUAUUUCUGUUUUUGAAUUUGGCGUGCUGCAAUUUCGCUGGAUUUUUGUCAAAUCAAUCUCGUUACCGGGGUAUGAGCGGGAAGGGAG
rnacentral:lncRNA from 13 species